ensembl:lncRNA
AAUGUGUGGGGCUGUGAUGUGUGGGGCUGAGAUGUGGGGCUGCGAUGUGGGGUAGAGGGCUGCAAUGUGUGGGGCUGCAAUGUGUGGGGCUGCAAUGUGUGGGGCUGCGAUGUGGGGCUGAGACGUGGAGGGCAGGGACAGACAGACGGAUGUGGAUGGGGACAGACAGACACGGAUGGGGACAGACAGACAGACAUGGAUGGGGACAGACGGACACAGAUGGGGACAGAGAGGCACAGACAGAUGGGGACAGACAGACACGGAUGGGGACAGACAGACGGACACAGAUGGGGACAGACGGACACAGACAGAUGGGGACAGACAGACAGACACAGAGGGGGACAGACGGACACAGAUGGGGACAGACAGACGGACGUGGAUGGGGACAGACAGACACAGACAGAUGGGGACAGACAGACACAGAUGGGGACAGACAGACACGGAUGGGGACAGACAGACGGACAUGGAUGGGGACAGACGGACGGACGUGGAUGGAUGGGGAUAAGGACAGACAGACGGACGUGGAUGGGGACAGACGGACAGAUGGGGACCGGGACAGAUGGGGACAGACAGAGAUGGAUGGGGAUAAGGACAGACAGACAGACACGGAUGGGGACAGACGGACAGACACGGACAGGAACAGAUGGGGACAGACGGACAUAUGGGGCCAGAUGGGGAUAAGGACAGACAGACAGACAGACCGGGACAGACAGACGGACGUGGAGGGGGACAGACGGACAUAGGGAGAAGGGGACACAGAUGGGGACGGACAGACAGACAGUGAUAAGGACAGACAGACAUGGAUGGGGACAGACAGACACAGAUGGGGACAGACAGACGGACGUGGAUGGGGACAGACGGACAUAUGGGGCCAGAUAGGGAUAAGGACAGACAGACAGAUGGACCGGGACAGACAGACGGACGUGGAGGGGGACAGACGGACACUGAUGGGGACAGACGGACGGACGGGGACUGGGACAGAUGGGGACAGACAGACAGACGGGGAUAAGGACAGACAGACGGACAGACCGGGACAGACAGACGGACGUGGAGGAGGACAGACAGACACGGAUAGGGACAGACGGACAGACGGGGACAGGGACAGAUGGGGACAGAAAGACAGAUGGGGAUAAGGACAGACAGACGGACGUGGAGUGGGACAGACGGACAUAUGGGGACAGAUGGGGACAGACAGAGACAGAUGGGGAUAAGGACAGACAGACAGACAGACCGGGACAGACAGACAGACGUGGAGGGGGACAGACGGACAGACGGGGAGGGGGACAGAUGGGGACAGACGGACAGAUGGCGAUAAGGACAGACAGACGGACGUGGAGGAGGACAGACGGACACAGAUAGGGACAGAUGGACAUAUGGGGCCAGAUGGGGAUAAGGACAGACAGACAGACAACAGACAGACAGACGGACGUGCAGCGGGACAGACGGACAGACGGGGACAGAUGGGGAUAAGGACAGACAGACGGACGUGGAGGAGGACAGACGGACAUAGGGAGAAGGGGACACAGAUGGGGACGGACAGACAGACAGUGAUAAGGACAGAUGGACAUGGAUGGGGACAGACAGACACAGAUGGGGACAGACGGACACAGAUGGGGACAGACAGACGGACGUGGAUGGGGACAGACAGACACAGAUGGGGACAGACGGACACAGAUGGGGACAGACAGACGGACACAGAUGGGGACAGACAGACAUGGAUGGGGACAGACAGACAGACAUGGAUGGGGACAGACAGAUGGACACGGAUGGGGACAGACAGACGGACAUGGAUGGGGACAGACAGACACAGAUGGGGACAGACGGACAGACGGAGACGGAUGGGGAUAUGGACAGACAGACGGACAGAUGGGGACAGACGGACACAGAUGGGGACAGACGGACGGACGUGGAUGGGGACAGACGGCGAUGGGGACAUAUGGGGCCAGAUGGGGAUAAGGACAGACAGACAGAUGGACCGGGACAGACAGACGGACGUGGAGGGGGACAGACGGACACUGAUGGGGACAGACAGACGGACGGGGACUGGGACAGAUGGGGACAGAUGGGGAUAAGGACAGACAGACGGACGUGGAGGGGGACAGACGGACACUGAUGGGGACAGACGGACAGACGGGGACUGGGACAGAUGGGGACAGACAGACAGACGGGGAUAAGGACAGACAGACGGACAGACCGGGACAGACAGACGGACGUGGAGGAGGACAGACAGACACGGAUAGGGACAGACGGACAGACGGGGACAGGGACAGAUGGGGACAGAAAGACAGAUGGGGAUAAGGACAGACAGACGGACGUGGAGUGGGACAGACGGACACAGAUAGGGACAGAUGGACAUAUGGGGCCAGAUGGGGAUAAGGACAGACAGACAGACAACAGACAGACAGACGGACGUGCAGCGGGACAGACGGACAGACGGGGACCGGGACAGAUGGGGACAGACGGACAGACGGCGAUAAGGACAGACAGAUGGACAGGGAUGGGGACAGACAGACAGACGUGGAUGGGGACAGACGGCAUAGGGACAUACGGGGCCAGAUGGGGAUAAGGACAGACGGACGGACACGGAUGGGGACAGACGGACAGACGGGGACAGGGACAGAUGGGGACAGACGGACAGAUGGGGACAGAUGGGGAUAAGGACAGACAGACGGACAUGGAUGGGGACAGACGGCAGUGGGGACAGAUGGGGAUAAGGACAGACAGACAGACAUGGAGGGGGACAGACGGACAGACGGGGACAGAUGGGGAUAAGGACAGACAGACGGACGUGGAUGGGGACAGACGGACAGACGGGGACAGGGACAGAUGGGGACAGACGGACAUAUGGGGCCAGAUGGGGAUAAGGACAGACAGACAGACAGACCGGGACAGACAGACGGACGUGGAGGGGGACAGACGGACACAGAUGGGGACAGACAGACAGACAUGGAGGAGGAGAGACAGACACAGACAGAUGGGGACAGACAGACACAGAUGGGGACAGACAGACGGACGUGGAUGGAUGGGGAUAAGGACAGACAGACGGACGUGGAGGGGGACAGACGGACAUAUGGGGACCGGGACAGAUGGGGACAGACAGACGGACGUGGAGGGGGACAGACGGACAGACGGGGACCGGGACAGAUGGGGACAGACGGACAGAUGGCGAUAAGGACAGACAGAUGGACAGGGAUGGGGACAGACAGACAGACGUGGAUGGGGACAGACGGCAUAGGGACAUACGGGGCCAGAUGGGGAUAAGGACAGACGGACGGACACGGAUGGGGACAGACGGACAGAUGGGGACAGGGACAGAUGGGGACAGACGGACAGAUGGGGACAGAUGGGGAUAAGGACAGACAGACCGACGUGGAGGGGGACAGACGGACAUGGGGAGAAGGGGACACAGAUGGGGACGGACAGACAGACGGACAUGGAUGGGGACAGACAGACACAGAUGGGGACAGAUGGAUGGACACAGAUGGGCACAGACAGACAGACAUGGAGGGGGACAGACGGACACAGAUGGGGACAGACAGACGGACACAGAUGGGGACAGACAGACGGACGUGGAUGGGGACAGACAGACACAGAUGGGGACAGACAGACAGACAUGGAGGAGGAGAGACAGACACAGACAGAUGGGGACAGACAGACACAGAUGGGGACAGACAGACGGACACAGAUGGGGACAGACAGACACAGAUGGGGACAGACAGACAGACACGAAUGGGGACAGACAGACAGACACAGAUGGGGACAGACAGACAGACACAGAGGGGGACAGACAGACAGAUGGGGACAGACAGACAGACGGACACGGAUGGGGACAGACAGACGGACAUGGAUGGGGACAGACGGACAGACGGGGCCGGAUGGGGAUAAGGACAGACAGACGGACGUGGAGGGGGACAGACGGACAUAUGGGGACAGAUGGGGAUCAGGACAGACAGACGGACACAGAUGGGGACAGCCGGCCAGGGGCAGGGAGGACAGAGGGACAGAUGGGGACAGAGGGACGGGGACGGACAGAGGGACAGAUGGGGACAGACGGACGGGGAUGGGGACGGCCUGCGGUGAUGGAUGGGGACAGACGGACGGGGACGGACGGACGGACGGACGG